rnacentral:misc_RNA from 1 species
GUAGGUGAACCUGCGGAAGGAUCAUUAACGAAUAAGUCUUUUAGACUAAAUUCAAUCCCAUACCUUUGUGAACUGUUUUGGUUACUUUGGCGGGGUCGCAUUUAAUGCGCCCAUUAUAGGGACUCCCCGCCAAGGCCUUUUUAAAUCUUAGUUUAAAAUGUUAGAAAGUAAUUUAUUCAAUAUAUACAACUUUUAGCAACGGAUCUCUUGGCUCUC